UCUUUUUAACAGGAGUCGUGCGAUUGAGGCAAAUGCCACGGAGGAGUUAUUUUGUUUUUUACAGAGUAUAUCCUGAGGAAUAAGGUGUCUAUGUUCGAAAUAUGAACUGCUUAAUAUUCGAUGGAUUUUCAGUUUUCUGAUGGACAAUGUCUCCUAAGAAAAUCGACAAUAAUUUCAACGAUUUCAACUUGGAAGCCGACUCAACUAUGUAGUAAGCCAAUAGGUGGAUGAAGAAGGUCGCCAUAUUAGGAAAACCGGAUCAACUUUUGUUGGGGUGGACUUCCUUUUAACAAGAGCUCCAAAUCUCAUUCCUACGAUGACAUCAGCCGUUGAGCUUAUAAAGUGACAAUGGCAUGUAGAUUUGCCAGAGCUAACGACCUGUUUGCAGUAACAUCAAAGGUGCAAUGUCAGGCAUGCUAAACUAAAAGCAUCACCAGCAAGAGAAAAAUGCAAGACUUCUACCCUUAUUGAAAAAGAUCGCCUGAUGGUGCGUAGUACAUCCUGGGCCACAAUGAAGGAAUCACCAUUCAUGAAGCCGGGUUAGCAAGGAAUGGAGCAAGUUUUCAACAGGAGGUGAUGGCGGGUCAGGUGGAUCAGAGAAUGUUGCUUGGAAGGCAUCCGCCUGUGAUUAACAACUGAGGUCUGACGAUAUUUUUGACCAGCCCAAUCUCAUUUCCCACUUGAGAGGACAAAUCGGUUUUAUAAUAAGGAGUAGAUGUGGAUGGUAUCCUUCGAUCGAUGAAUACACCAUGUCCAUACUAUGGUUGGGAAAUCCACCCGAUGCAGUCUCAUCACGGUGAUCAAGGAUCCAGUUGGUCUUCAGCCGGUCCGAGACGGACGACCUUUACGUUACAUGCAGGUCGGAAAUGUUCUCAAGGAUGUUGAAGGUCAAGUCUACCCCAACACAAAAUUAUCAAAUGAAAAGAGGAAAAUCAAGCUAGCAUAGGGAUGAAAACUUCCUCAAAAUCGAAUGUAAAAUAAGAAAGUUAUAGACGUUUUAAAGUUUCACUUGACUUCACGAAACAAUUACCAUUGUCAGUUGCGAGUAAUGGAACCAGUGCCAUUAUCCACAUUUCUCUUGUAUUUUAUUCUAUGAAAUAUGAAACAUCUUAAUUUCUCCUCAUUAUGCUAUGAAAAAGGCAUGAUCCUCUUUGAAAAGAGGGAUUAUCAUUGUUGCAAUCACUGUGAUUCGUUGAUAUACUUGUCAAAUAUAUACAAGUUUGAAGUAUUCUAAUUUCAUUUCAUAAAAUACAAAAUAAAUAAUAAUUAAGGGACAUACUCCGACUCUCUUAAGCGAAACUGUAAAAUGAUAUGUCUUAUUUUACAUCCGAUUUCGAUUAAAAUGUUUGAUUUUCCUCUUUUAUUCAAAUCCACUGUUUGAUAGAAUGAAUUUAUACAAUAUGAUUCGUUAGAACAAAACUUCAAAAAAUUUGUAUCACUUUUGCACGCAAGUUGCUCGCAAGUUGCUGUAUAACCUUUCUCCUCAUUUUUUAUGGCGUUAAUCAGACAAAGUAACAUAAGAAACGAGAUUACACAACCUUGCGUGCGGAAAAUUGGCAUAAUUUUCAUACAUUAUAUAUGAAAGCGCAUGCUUCACUGAAUUCUGUUUUUGCAUCACUGAUCAGUGUUCAGGGCAAUGUUUUGUAAACAGCUUGGGCGCUGCGCUUUCUCGCAUGAUUUCACGUCGCUGUUGGUUUUAAAAUUGCUUUUUCAUCAAGGUUUGCAGCAUUCCUAAAAGUUGAACACUAUUUCAAAAGAAAUGCGAAAAAAGGGGGAGGAAAAAAAACCCAAACAUAGUCCUUAUAAUACCAAAGGUAGAUGCAUCAGAAAUGAAACUUUGAAUGUUCAAAAUUUCACAUUUCUUAGCUCUCUCACAAUAUUUUCUUCCUUUCAGGAAUUCAUAAGAUUUUACAGCACUUGAGGGUGAGGAUUAAACAUCUGCUACGUACCGUUGCCAAAAAGUAGACCUUUAUAUUUAUUGCCAGUUUCAUUGCUUCUACUCCCUGUCUGUGACAUUAAUAGUGAAAUACAAAAAAAUGUUAAUUUAAUAAGUUUCUAACUUAUUCAUUUUUUGUGUUUUGUUUUGCUCCAUGCCCGGCCCCCCACUCCGGGGACGGAAGGACCGCAUGCGUGUUCCCAAAAUGUCCGGUAAAGGGAUACCUUUUCGCGGGAUAAGUCCGGCCCGCGAAUUGUAAAAAAUGGGGGUGUAUUUGUAUUUUCACCCAGAUAUUUCUUUAAAAAGGGGGCGUGUUUUUUUAUCUCUCUCUUUGGACUCCUGAGCAAUUUUAAAAGGAGGUUAUAAAAUAUCUUGAAUAAUAUAGAAAAAAUGAUCAAAUCCCGAGAUCAAAUACCUGAAAUUCCUGCUAGUUUUGAAACCUCAUUCAGGAUUAUUUCCUUUUGUUCGAAUGAGAGCUCACCUGAGAUAUAGGGGGUACAUUGAGCAGUGUUCCGGAUUUAGGGGGGUCUCCAAGGCAGAAAAAGCCUGCGAAAAGCCCUCGAAAGGGGGGUUCAGAAAUAUUGACAGACCUUCGAUGGGGGUGCUUUCAAAGGGAGGAAACGAGCAUAGGCGUUCUCUAAAUAACACUAAGUGGGGGGGGGGGGGGGGGGGGGCCGGGGCUCCAUGUGCACAAAGCGCAAGAAAUCGCGUUUUCAAAUUUGAAUCCUCACCUGAUAAGGUGUAGGUCGUCAAAUAGAAAGCUUACAAAGAAAUUGUGCGAAUAAUUCGAUAAGUAAAAUAGUUUCUUGUAUGCAUGCGUUAAAUUGCUAGUAUCUCGGCAUACAUCCCACAACCUUAAAUUUGUAAAUAAAAUAUGGUAGCCCUAUUUUUAGAAUGCACUUGGUUAAUUCGAACUAGUAUAAGUUCCUCUAAUUCGUUAUUUUUUGCCUGGGGUGUUUUAUGAAGCUGUUCGUAAGUUACAAAUGACUUUAAACACGACAAGUGACCUUUUAUUUUGCUUAAUGAUAUGCCGUAGAUGAAUUAGCAACUAAAAACAUGUUCAAGUCGUUCUUAAAGUCGUGCAUGUGUCACUUACAAACAGCUUUAUAAAACAGGUCAGGGCGAUUGAUUAGUAAAUGAUCUUGUUAUACCUUCUUUUGGCUACUUGUAUUUAUUCUCGUACCGGUUUCAUAUUAAAGUUGUCCCUCUCUCAUUCCUACACCUCCCCUGUCUCUCUCUCUCUCUCUACCUUGAACCCUCCCCUCCCUUCAUAUUUGUUUUAUUUUCAUCACUAAACAACUUAAUUUCUCAUUUACUUAAACUGCUGAAGGUUUGUCUGGAAUCAUAUUCCAAACACUCGGUCUCUUUACUUCCUCCUCCUCUUUUUUACAGCCCACUCGACUUCUACAAAAAUCGUUGGGCGAUCCCUAAAUUCCAGCGGAGCCCGAGCAGGCUACCAUCCGGUCGGUCGCCGCUCUGAGUUGUGACUGAAGCCUUAAUUCGCAUCCGAAAAUUUUUAACACUUUCCUUCUCUGUAAAUCUAAACUUUCUUUCUCGAGCCAUUACAACAUUCUACAACCCCCUCCCCUCAAACUACUUUGUGUAACAUGAUCUUUCCUCUCACCCCCUUAUAUAAUUACCAGUCAUUAAUUUUCUAUCUAUCAUUAAUCCCCCCCCCCUCUUAUCAGUUUUUACUCUCUAUCCCUCUUCAUAUUCAGGUGUAACUUGAACGCCCUAAUGCACAUUUAAUCCUCAUUCUCUCAUCUUUGUCAGUAAUCAUUUACCUAUUCUCAUAUUCUCACCCUAUAACUCAAGGCCAAUCACAUCCACCUGGACUAUUGGCUUUGUCAUCCUCCCUUAUCAAAUAAUCUCCUCAUCCCAUUUACCUUCCUCCAUGAAAACUUUUCUUUAUUUCUCUUCGUCACUCCUAUUUCUCCUUCCCCCUCUCUCCUUCACUCCUCUUUCUUUCUUCUCAUGUCUCUCUCCUUCCCUCUAUCUUUAGCCCCCCCCCUCCAGCACUUCUUCUUCGCACAUGACCAAAGAAAGAAGAUGAGAGUGAACUUCAUGAAUAAUGAAUGUUUUCAUUGAUAAACCUGAUCUAAUAAUCACUUUAGCAACGGAAUUGAAUAAACUUCCGAUUAUCCUCCGAUCUAAAAACUUACACCUGAAAACCUAUCUUUAUCCAAUACACAAGAUAACUUUUAGCAUUGCCAAUUUGAAAUAUUUAUUCUUGCUCUGUUAUAGGUAUUGUCCAUAAACAUAUAUAACUAGUAAUACAUAUCUAUGGUAUUGUCUCUCAAUUCGUUGAUUAUUACAGAAAAGUAAUUGUGUGAAGAGAUAACUCAUUGUCAGAAAAUACUAUUCAAAUAAAUUCUAAACUGCUCUCAAAUUCAAAAGAUUUUCAACAAUAUUAAGUUCAUUUUUUGAAGUUCACUCUUGUAAAAUAAAAGUUUAAUUAUACCUGGAAUGUUGCAAAAGUGGAUUGUUGAGCCGGGUAUUCAUGAUUAAACAUUUAACGAUUCAUGAUUUUUCUUUUGGAUUCAUGUAAAAAUGGGGUCGACUAAUCGGACCAAGCUUACUUUCAUCUUUGUUGGUAAUGAAAUAUGUAAUCUCAAAAUAACAAGAACAGAAUAACAGAGUAUUUACUGUAAUUAUAAAGUAUCAUUCUUUGAAAAGAAUUUCAAUCCAUUUUGCAACAUUUUACCAAGUCUAGAAUCUGGAUGGGAGGAGUGUGUAUGUGAGGGGGGGGGGUGCUAACUGAAGCUUGGCUUGUACAGUUCAGAAAAGGGUGAUCCAAAUCAUGAGGGUCUAUAAAAUAAAAAAGAAAUCCCUUGGUGUAUAUUGAUUGAGAUUAAUAGUAGUCACCAAGGCAAGAAUUAAAAUUUAAUCACGGCCUUUAUUCUCAAAACUUAAAGAUGGAAAUUGUAUCAGGAAAAUAUAGGCCUUCUUAGAAAUUUUCUUUGCAAAAAAAAAAGGAUUUCUACAAUAAACAAUUUAAAUAUACAUUAGCCUCCUAAAUUUGGUUUACCUUUUACACGUUGUACAGUAGCCAUGACAACCUAAAAGCUGGCCGGUAUUCUGAAAAUCGUGUAUCUUUUCUGUGUUAACCAUCAAAAAAAAUUUUUUUUAAUGGUAUUUAUAUUUACUGUGCAAAUAAGCCAUUCACAAGUAAAAACCUCUCAAUGUGAGCCAAUGACAUGCGUGGUAGCAAAGAUAACACAAUUUUCAGAAUACCAGCUAUGGGCCGUUGCAUAAAAACUAUUAUAAAGUAGUGAUAUGGAUCCUACUCGUAAUGAUUGGCUGAUAUCUUAUCACAUGACCAGUAAGCAAAUAAACAAACAAAAAAUCACCCCAAAAUACUCAAAAGAGCCCAUUCACUGCAACAUAUCCAAUAUUGCAGAUUUAUGCAUUAGGUUGUCAGAAGUAGCCCCCGAAAUACAAUAAUUUGUUUUGCCUUUAUUGAGAUGAGGAUGGCUUAUCAAAUGACUGGGAUCCACAUCAUUAUUUUAUAUAAAACUUAAUACACAUGCUUGGGCAUUAGAAAAAUUACACACACACGGGCGCUCUGCCUCGGACAUGUUAGAACUGUCCCAAGGGUGUCUUGUGCGUGUAAUUCCUAAUAAUGCCCAAGAUGUGUAUUGUGUACUAUUAUUUGUAACUUUGCUAUCCAAUGGUAACACUGGCGUACAAAUGUGGGUGGGGCGGGGCACGACUAAGAGAAAGAAUUUUUUUUAUCCAUGUCUGACCCCUUAAAAUGUUUGGCUCAUUAUGCCACUGAAUGGAUGGCAAAGUUACUGUAAUAGGGUACCGAAGUGUGACAUAAAUUUUCACUUUUUGCAUUUCAGCGCUUUUUAUACCAUAUUUUGGUAUAACGCAUGAUGAAAUACCCCUAUUACCAAAAUUUGGUGAGAA